GAAGGAGUGCAAACAUCUGAUAUAUACACGUGAUGGUGGGCAACUAGAAAACUAUGUAACUGACUGAUUAAAAAUUGAAUUAGAUGAUGUGAAAGUUUCUCCAAGAUACAUUACACUGUAUUAUGCUAUACAGUAUAAUAAAAUCAAGGCAUAUGUUAUGUUUGUAUUGAACUUGGACUUUAGAACUUCAUGUCCUAUAUAACUGUACAAAAUAUAUAAAUAAAAACUAUUAGGAAUACAAAACAAAAUGUCAAGAAACAAACGGUGUAAUAGAAAUUGCAAUUCAACACCAUCAGUUAGUAACAUUAAGCAGACAGUGUUCUAGUACAUUUGUGCUGCUAUAGUAGAAUAUCUUAGACUGGAUGGCUUAUAAAUAACAGAAAUUUAUUUCUUGUAGUUCUGGAGGAUGGGAAGUCCAAAAUCAAAGCACUGGCAGAUCUGGUGUCUUGAGAAGGACAAUUCUUGGUUCAUAAAUGGCUGUCUUUUCACUGUGUCCUCACCUGACAGCAGACAUGAGGGUGACCUCAGGAGUCUCUUUAUAUGGACACUAAUCUCAUUUAUGAGGGCUCUGCACUCAGACUUAAUCACCUACCAAAGGCCUUACCUCCUAAUAACAUCACACUGGGGGUGACGAUUUCAACAUAUGAAUUUUGUGGAGACAUUAACAUUCAGUCUAUACAAGAUAAAAAUAAAUUGGGUUUGAGAAUUUGGAUAAAAUAAAUAUAAGUAAACUAAUGAGAAUAUAAUUUGUACC
rnacentral:lncRNA from 10 species